UACGGAGGGUGCGAGCGUUGUCCGGAAUCACUGGGCGUAAAGGGCGCGUAGGUGGCGCGGCAAGCGUGCGGUGAAAGCUCGGGGCUCAACCCCGAGUCGGCCGUGCGAACUGCUGGGCUUGAGCACUGUAGAGGCAGGCGGAAUUCCGGGUGUAGCGGUGAAAUGCGCAGAUAUCGGGAGGAACACCAAUGGCGAAGGCAGCUCGCUGGGACGUGACUGACGCUGAGACGCGAAAGCGUGGGGAGCAAACAGG
rnacentral:rRNA from 1 species